rnacentral:rRNA from 1 species
GAUGAACGCUGGCGGCGUGCCUAAUACAUGCAAGUCGAGCGAACAGACGAGGAGCUUGCUCCUCUGACGUUAGCGGCGGACGGGUGAGUAACACGUGGAUAACCUACCUAUAAGACUGGGAUAACUUCGGGAAACCGGAGCUAAUACCGGAUAAUAUAUUGAACCGCAUGGUUCAAUAGUGAAAGACGGUUUUGCUGUCACUUAUAGAUGGAUCCGCGCCGAAUUAGCUAGUUGGUAAGGUAACGGCUUACCAAGGCAACGAUGCGUAGCCGACCUGAGAGGGUGAUCGGCCACACUGGAACUGAGACACGGUCCAGACUCCUACGGGAGGCAGCAGUAGGGAAUCUUCCGCAAUGGGCGAAAGCCUGACGGAGCAACGCCGCGUGAGUGAUGAAGGUCUUCGGAUCUUAAAACUCUGUUAUUAGGGAAGAACAAAUGUGUAAGUAACUAUGCACGUCUUGACGGUACCUAAUCAGAAAGCCACGGCUAACUACGUG